UCCCCAGAUGUUGUUGGACUACAAUUCCCAUCACCUCUAGCGAGCGGGUCCAGUGGUCAGGGAUGAUGGGAGCUGUAGUCCAACAACAUUUAGAUGGGAA